GACGAACGCUGGCGGCGUGCUUAACACAUGCAAGUCGAACGGAAAGGCCCUGCUUUUGUGGGGUGCUCGAGUGGCGAACGGGUGAGUAACACGUGAGUAACCUGCCCUUGACUUUGGGAUAACUUCAGGAAACUGGGGCUAAUACCGGAUAGGAGCUCCUGCCGCAUGGUGGGGGUUGGAAAGUGUCGGCGGUUGGGGAUGGACUGGCGGCUUAUCAGCUUGUUGGUGGGGUAGUGGCUUACCAAGGCUUUGACGGGUAGCCGGCCUGAGAGGGUGACCGGCCACAUUGGGACUGCGAGACGGCCCAGACUCCUACGGGAGGCAGCGGUGGGGAGUAUUGCAGAAUGGGCGGAAGCCUGAUGCGGCAACGCCGCGUGCGGGAUGACGGCCUUCGGGUUGUAAACCGCUUUCGCCUGUGACGAAGCGUGAGUGACGGUAAUGGGUAAAGAAGCACCGGCUAACUACGUG
rnacentral:rRNA from 1 species